UUCUAUGACAGUAUCAAACCAAAACAGAAUUUCCCAUGUGCCAAAAGUUAACCCAGCAAUUCCGUGGUUAAGGUAACCUUACGAGAUUAUACAUAUACAAGUUUCCUGUGUAAAGAUCUGCAAAGGUAAAGCAGAGUCAGGAUCUUCAUCCCUCAAAAAAAAGAUGUCAAAUGCCACAGGUGAAAUGUAAGAGUUUAAAAGUCACUUCCAGGAUUACCCUACCCUGGCAGGAAUUCCUAAAGGCUGCACAGGUAUGCGAAGAGAUCCUUCUGUAACUGCAAGUCAGUUUAGUGGAUUUAUACAUACUUUUCAGCUUAAGAGAAUUCUGCUCACUGCUUGAAGUAUGGGGGAACAAAACAAGAAGGGUAUGGAAAAUUAUUUACAAUCUCUGUACUUGCUGGUUGCAGAACUUCAUGAAUUAGCAGCUUCACCAUCUGACUGAGACUAUCACAUUCAUAUUGAGCUGCAUCUAGUAGAAGACGUCCCUCGACACACACACACAGUUUUAGUUAAGAUGCUUCAGCAAGUUCUCCUGUUACUAGGAAAAAACAAUACUGUAAGGAGAGUUGUCAUCUUUAUUUUAAAAUCGUGUAGCAAUUGAUUUAUUUUCAUUCUAUUAACACCAAUUUUGACAAGUUUUGUGUGCCAUUUCAUGUAACGGAAAGUUCAUAGCAGAAGUCCUAUAGCAGACAGCUCAGAAGGGUGGUAGGUAAAGGCUUGCAGGCCCACUAUCAUUUUUUAAACCACCUUCAUACAAUCAAAUCAAGAAAAUUGUAUAUAACCAGAUACACACAUGAAAAUUACGCAGGCCAAAUUAUACUUUCGUACAAAAAGCAGUUCCACAACAUUGAUUAAAUUACUGGAUCAGUACCUUUUGAAGUUACUGAAAUACACAAUAACUAGAUUAUUGAAGAUUAGAGGUGAUGUUUUUAUUUGAAGGAUGGGAUUUGGGAGAAGGAAGGAGUUAAAAAUAGCAAAAUAAUGGUCAUCAUGAAAUAGCCAUCCCUGCAAAUAAACUACCAAACAUGUU